rnacentral:lncRNA from 1 species
GUGAAUACUUAACUAAAUAGGCAAACAGCUCCCAUUAAUGGCUAAGAUUGUAUAUCUUCCUACCCUUUAAAAUGGGGUCUUUGAGCCAGAUUUAAUUUAAUUUAGAAAAAUUAAGUACUGCUUAUUGGACUUCAAUGUUGUGAAACAAAUCUAUGCUUUUUAUGUAUAUUAUCCCACUUAAACUUUACCAUGCUUUGAAGUAGGUUUCUUUACCCUCUUUUAUAGAAGGGCACGAUCUGAAGGACAGAGAAGGUAAUAUAUAUUCAGAGUGCUAGAACAGAAGAGGGAGCCAGGGAUGGAGAGCCCCCUUACCCUGUGAGGGAUUCUUUGGAUGUAAAUGAUGGCAAGUACAAUUCAACUGACUUUAAAAACAGGAUCUGUUGCCUCAGGCACCUGAAAAAGUUCUGGGAGUAAGGCUGCCCUCAGGCAGGAGGAUUCAUACUGGGGCUCAGCUGAUGUCAUCAAGUUUCAGUUUCCAUCCAUUUCUCUGCUCUAGGUUCUGGACUGGCUACCUUGUAAGUCUGUCUGGCAAGUUCAUAGCUACAUCUUCCAAACUAAAAGCGCAGCUAAAAAUGGGUGGUUUCUCCCACUAGUCCCUUCAAAAGUCCCACUGUGCCUUAUUGUCUCCAGUUGGGUCACAUGCCCACCCCUGACCAAUCACUGUUGCCAAAAGCAUGGACCAAUCUUUUUGGCCAAGCCUGAGUUCAAUGUCCUCCUUUAAAGUAAGAGCGUUAGUGAUAAACAACUCCACUUGACAUGGACUGAAACUGACAACGGGGUUAGAUCCCCAGAGGGCAAAAGAAGGACUAUUUUUGGAAGGUGAGUGAAUGCUGAGUGUCAAAAUAAAAACAAAAACAAAACGGAUGUCUACUUCAGCCCUCUCUCUCACCACCCCAUUUCUGCCUUCUUGUCCAGAGUCAUGCCAUGCACUGAAGGUUAGAGUUAGAGGAAAUGCCAAUUCUGUGGAGGACAGGAAAGGAACUCAAAGUGGAAGGAAUCAAUCAGAGGCCCCAACAUCCAUGUGGAUAGACCAUCCAAUGAUCUGACCUCUCACUGUCUGCUCCUUCUCAUCUUAGAGUCCUUUACCUUCAUUCCAGUUCAGUUAUGGCCAUAGCCUAGAACUUAUCUCCAGCAACACUUGUGUGUUCUGAAAAAAUACAGUCUGACAUUCCACCCUUUAUCCUCUCAGCUUAUGCCCUCAGCAUGCUAAUUCCUCAACCUAUUCAGGAACUACAAGCCGCUCUAUACUUUCCCCUGCUCACCUGACCACCUUUGUCUUCAUUUCCUCCCUCUCCAAGGAAAACUUCAUGGGGCAUCACUUAAUGCUAAACCUAAAUAUACUGCUCUGCUCUAAACAGCCUACCCCCUUCUUUCAUUCGUCCUGUCUAGCAAAAUCCAACUCUGCCUGUUUUAGCACUGCCUUCAAAUAAGGGCCCUGCUUCCUCUUGGAUAAAAUCACACAAGUGUCUUUGUGCCCCAUAAACUUCUGUUCUACAUCUGUUGCUCAGCUCCACCACUGCCUCAGAAUCCAGUCAUUCCUCCUGUGUUACCAUGUGCCAGACGCUCUUCCAAGCACUUGGGACACCCAGUGGAGGCAACAAACAGAGGCCCUGUCUCGGGGGAGCUUCUGUGAUUGUUUUCUCAGUCAACUCUCUUGCCCAAGUUCUCAAAACAAUUCCACUUUCCUACACCUUGUCCACACUCCUCGCUCACUGAGCAUAUGUGCUGGACCACCAGAGGGAAACAGAGAAGUCAUCAGAUGGGAACUUUUCUGCAUAAAAACUUCAAAACAAAACAAAACCAAAACCAAAAUGAGACCCUCCAUCUCUUCUCUCCUCCUUCCUUCCCACCAUACUGAAAGGUUUCCCUCAAUGCUUUCCUUAAUCCUCCCAACCUGGGAUCUGCCCACCCUUUCCAAGUCGCAACACUUUCACAUGUGUGGGCUAUCUGCCUUAAUUAUCUACUUUUCCAGAGGACCAAGACUACAUUUACCUCAUCACAGCUGGAAACACCAAGCAGAGCUCAGAGUCCUCUGGAGGAAUACAUUGGCACUGGGAGGGAUCUACGGGGAGGUCCUGCCCAGCAUGCUCUGGGGCGGGGCCACGUCCGGGGGCAGGGCCUGAGAGACUCUGAGAGCCUGUUUGGCUUCUUGAGGGCGACGGCACCAGCAACGUGGCCAGACAUCUCACCUCAGGCUUCUGGAAGAUAUGAGUUGAGAUUUAACUCAAAGACAGGUUCUGAGGAAGGUUUCUGGAUGCCUGAGUGACCUUCCCCACUUCCCAGCCGGAAGGAUCCUUUCCUCCAUCUGAUAUUUCCAUUACGGUAUGCAGGCCCUCACAGCCCCUGGGCCCCCAAACUCUCACUCCAGGCCCAGCCUUAGAAGGCGCUCAGAGGCCUGGGGGCAGGGCUGCGCCUACCCAACACCACCCCCUUUGACGAUGGCACUCUGAGGAACUCCACCAAGAAUGAAUUUAUUUAGCACCUAACAUGUGCCAGACACUAUGCCAGGCUCUGGGAUACAAUGGUAAGCAAAAAGGUAGAGUCUCUGCCUUCAUGGAUCUUACAGUCUAGAGGGGAGAUCAGGCAGAAAUUAAUCAGACAAGAUUGUGUAAAUGUCCCACGUUACAUUCUAUGAAGGGUUCAUGGGCUGGUUGUCGGUGCCAAGGGAGUUUAAAACAUGGGGAUUGGGCCUAACCAAGGAGAAGAGGGUCUUCCUCACCCACCCCUCAGGAGCUGAUCAGGCUUAAGAGUGAUUUAAUGUGAAGAAUGCUUUGGAUGGGGUAAACAGGAUGUGAGAGACCAGUGAGAAGGCCACUGCAGUAAUCUACGAGAGAAAUGAUGUCAGCAUGGACCACAAUGGUGGUGGCCAAAGUGGAGUAACGUGGACGGAUGCCAGAAAAGACAGAAAGAUCUGGAGGAAUCUCCAGAGGAGAGGAAGCCAGGGAGGGAAGGAAGCCAAGG